CAAUCGCGUGUCGCCUUUUUGAUUUUUGAAGGACAUUCAACCAGUUCGAAAACCGUGGUUCAUGUGGCAGUCGGUUUUGGGCAAGAAAAUCGCUGAAUAUUUCGACUGUUUUCUUGGAAAAUUUUCGGAAAACUUAUAGAAACAGGUUUCCAUGAACUGUGUCAUGGAGAAAAAUCAAUAAUUGUAAUUUUUCUUUGUUUGGAUGAAAAGUUACAUUUUUCAUUACACAAGCAGUUUGAUCUAGGACAUUUUUCCAAAAAUUUAUCUACUAAUAAAAUUGGAAAAUGCUAUAAGAUAGCAUUUAUUUAUUCAUUUAUCAAGACUCCGAUUUAUUUCCUAGAAAACGGCAAAUUUCUCAAUUAAGUAUUUAUACAACAGUUGGCAUAACAAGGUGGCGACCGGGAGGCAGCGUAGUAGCCGUCGAUCUGUCAAGAUGGCAGUAGAUGGAUCCAAAUUUCAGAUCACAAGGGAGUCAGACGAGGCCCUGAUAAACCGAAAACUUCCAAAAGAGCUGCUCCUUAGAAUAUUCUCAUUCCUUGACGUAGUCUCCCUCUGCAGGUGUGCUCAAGUAUCGAAAGCCUGGAACGUCCUUGCUUUAGACGGCUCAAAUUGGCAAAAAAUCGACCUAUUUACUUUUCAGACAGACGUAGAAGGUCCCAUUUUAGAAAAUAUUUCUAGAAGAUGUGGCGGUUUCUUGAGGAAACUAUCUUUAUUUGGAUGCCAGUCAGUUAGGGAUGGCUCAAUGAAAACCUUAGCUCAACUAUGUCAAAAUAUUGAAGAUUUAAACUUGCAGGACUGCAAAAAGAUUUCCGAUGCAACAUGUAACGCCCUCUCGAAACACUGCUCGAAGCUGCAAAAAUUAAAUCUGGACGGUUGCGCUCUUAUCACCGACUUUGCACUGAAAGCUCUGAGUGACGGCUGUCCAAACUUGACUCAUAUCAACAUUGGUUGGUGUAACAUAGCUGAGAAUGGAGUUGAAGCCUUGGCAAGAGGAUGUCCAAAGUUAAAAAGCUUUCUAAGCAAGAACUGCAGGAUGAUUAGUUCGAAGGCAAUCAUAUGCUUGGCUAAAUACUGUACGCAGUUAGAAGUUGUAAAUUUAAGUAAAUGUGUUAAUAUUAGAGAUGACGCGAUUCAGGCCCUAGCAGAGAACUGUCCAAAAUUACACUAUCUCUGUCUUUCUUACUGUUCCAUCUUAACGGAUGCUUCACUAAUAGCGCUGGCCCAACACUGCAUCUUGUUAUCGACGCUUGAGGUGGCCAGCUGCUCGCUUUUUACUGAUGCAGGAUUUCAAGCGUUAGCGAGGAGUUGCCGAUAUUUGGAAAAAAUGGAUUUAGAUGAAUGUGUGCAGAUCACUGAUGCAACCUUAAUCCACUUGUCAAUGGGCUGUCCUAGAUUAGAAUAUCUGACACUGUCCCAUUGUGAACUGAUAACGGACGAAGGAAUCCGACACUUGUCUAUGUCUCCUUGCGCCGCAGAAAACCUCACUGUCCUCGAACUGGACAACUGUCCUUUAGUUACUGAUGCUUCUCUGGAACACUUGACCUCAUGCCAUAACCUGCAGAGGAUUGAACUUUAUGACUGUCAGCUCAUCACUAGAGUAGGAAUUAAAAGACUCAAAGUAAGUGACGUUAUCAGAAUCACUUGCCUAGUAUCAACGUGCAUGCCUAUUUUGCGCCGGUCACGCCCACCCAAACUGGAAACACCACUAGACAACGAUACUGUCGAUGUUGUAUGAUACUCUGAGGACGGCGCCCCUCGCACGGCUCCCCGCCUGCUCCAUCGUAAGAUGGAUCGGGCCUAAGGCGUGACAUCACGCUCAAAGUUUGCCAGUGCCGUACUUAUAGUUAUCGUUGAUAUGUAGAUGUCCUAAAAGCCAACCAAAUCGGUUUUGUGGCAUGAAGGAAUUAAUAUAGCUGUCGUGAAGAUCAGGUGCACUAGUCCAGUAAUCUUUAUAACUUGACUGAUGCCUAAUACUCAUGAGUAAGUGUAUUCCUAAAAAUAUAUUUGUUUCAUUAAACAUAGUUUUUUUGUAUGAUUUUUCUGGUAUGCAUUUGUUUUUGUAUCUGCUUUGCCUUUUUUUGCAUUUUUUCUUGAAAAAUUGAUAACGGGUCAUCGUCGUCGGAAGAACUUUGGCUGAUAUCGAUAUCAUUUAGGUUUGUGUUGUCAUCAAUAUCUGUGUUCAAUUUUGAAACAUCACCAGGCGGCAUGAGGUAUGGAUAUCAAAGUUCUUAGGCUCUUUCCGGCUCAUUUUCGAAAAUAAUCAUUGUGUGCCAUUUCGUAAAGAAAAAUAUAUAUUAAAAAAAAUAAAAAAACCUACCAGAGCGGUGGCACAAUUGUUACACGAUCAUUAAAUUACAAUGAAAUUUCUAAUUAUAAAUAUUAUUGGUUGGCAAAACAACAUUUUGUACUUACUUACUAUAGCAUUAUCUGGUGGCGCAUAAUGAGCGUUAUGGUUUAAAUGCUUCAUAAUUUUUUAAUACAAUUUUAAAACCAUUAUUUUAAAAUAAAGUCUAACCUGGAAAAUUACGAAGGUGUCCUCCAUUUUGUGCUUCACAAAGUAGAGCUCUUUCCGAAACAUGUUGCAGGCCUUUUCAUUACGAAUAUUAUUUUUCAAUUCAGGGAUGAUCUUUGGCCUAUUAUAUUCUUCCUUUUAAAUAGACCCAAAGCAAAAAAAUUAGCAGUCAAUUCCGGUGAACGCGGCAGCCAAUUAAAAUCGCUCCUACGCGAAAUAAUUUAUUCGCCGAAGAUCUGCCGUAACACAACCAUUAUGACUCAUGGAGAACGGGGCGUGGCACCAUCUUGUUGAAAUUCAGGGUGGUUUACCAUAACUGAUCUCAAAAAAAAUUUCAAAAUGUUACUGUAGUGAAAAGCAUUGAUGGUAACGGCAGCAUUUUUGAAGAAAUAUGGUCCAGUGAUCUAUUCGGACGAUACGUCACACCAAACACUGUAUUUGAGUGGGUACUGCUCUCGGUAAUGAAGUACUCUUGGAUUCUCUAUAGCCCAUAUCCUGCGAUGUUGUUUGUUUAUAAAUCCAUUUAAAUUCUCCUGUUUUUUUUGCUGCAACGCAAUAGCAUCAAGCCAAGCAAGUUGUGCAAAACGUCUCCUGGUUGAUGUUUCUAGACUUCCAUACUCUCCGUUACAAGUUCAAUAUUUUCGGCGGUAUGCACUGUACGUGGCCUUCUAACUGCAGGGCGGUUCCUAACUGAGCCUUGUUGCGACCAGGCAAUUUAUUGUUGGCACUGAGGGUCUAAUCGGAACAUUAAAAUAUCGCCGAUAUGCACGCUGCUUCAGAAUCCCUGAGUUUCCCCUUUUAAAAAUAAAAUUUAAUGAUUUUUUUCGUUGUUCUAUUGUGUACUGUUCCAUCUGCAAAUCCCCAUCCUUCUUUACAUAAUUCUGAAGUAAAAAAAUACAUUUUAAAAUAAAAAAGUUAUAAAGCAUUUAAGCCAUAACGCUUAUUAUGCGCCACCCUGUACAAAAUAUGUCGCAAUAUUUCAAUCAAAAAUCAACAUAAAUAUUAUAAUGUUUAAAACUACACACACGAAUUUCUUGUAAAUAUAGACACAAAUAUAGAUGAAUUGAAUUGAAACUCUUUAAAAUGAAUUAAGGUUUAUUGUAUAAUAUGAUAAAAACGUAACAAUCAAUAAAAUUUAAAUUAAUUUCUUAGCAAACCAAAGUUCAAAUUUCAAAAAUGAAAAUGUUAAAGGAAAUUUAUUGCCCUACCAGAAGAUGCAUAUUGAAAAAAUAAGGUUAAAUGCUUUUCUCGCUAAACGGUUAAAGUUAUACUGAUGGAAUUUGUAUAUGUUCAUGUAAGUAUACGAGUCAGGAUUUUUUUUUCUAUUUGAAGCCGCGUUUAUUUAUGUGUGUGAGAAUAUAGAUUCCCAGUAUAUUUUGAGCAGUCUGCUAUUAAUUCAUGUAGUCUAUACUCUAUUUCAGAAGUGUGUAGAGCAAUAAAACCUCAUUAGGUAUGCAAAAGUGGUAUCUGGUGAUCCACCAAUAUUUUAUGCCACUACCUUAGUUGGGUAUUAGUUUCAAUGUAAAAUUCUUUCUUUUCGUUGAUUGCAGGUAGUGCCACCCGGUUUUGGGUCAAUUUAUGAGUUUUGCCCAUUGUUACCCACUGAUAAACAUUGAAAACGGUUCGCCAAAGGCGUGCAACUGGGACUUGUUUUUUACCUUAUAAUUAAUGUACUUAAAUGCUAUUUUAUUUUAGAAAGUUACUUUUGUUUAAAUGGAAUAAUAUAUUUUUUUCACAAAUUUAUUGAACAUAAUAUGUAGAGUAAAACAGUUGAAAAUGUCACUUUUGGAUCUGGCACUUUUUGAACAGUGUAUAACAAUUUUAAAUUAUAAUAGAUUGUAGUCUUCUUCGUCAUCUGACGAACUGUCAUCACCUCUUGACAUUAUAAUUAAAGGAUCGACUGUCUGAUCGAUGAGGUUGUCAAGAUCCCACAUUUUGUCCUCUUGCUUAAUUACAUGCUGGACUGCUUUUCGCCAAUUCUCUGGUGUCGCUUCCGUAAUGGCUUGAUCAAACAGUAGCUUAACAUCUUUCAUUUUAAAAGUCGUGUUUUGUCUUGCUACAAAUCCUUUUACCUGCGCCCAUAUCAGUUCUAUAGGAUUUAGUUCGCAAUGAUAUGGCGGUAAGCGCAGUACAGUUAUAUUAUAUUCUUCGGCUAUAUCUUCCACGGCGUAUUUCAUGAAACGAGUUUUGUGUAAGUUUGCUAUUGCCAGCAGUUCUUUUUUUAUCAAAUUUGCUUCAAACGCAAUACCUUUUGCAGUCAGCCAAUCGAUAAUUUCUUGCUUUCUCCAACUUGAAGUUGGCGUCUUCUCUAUUCGCCGUGAAUGAUAGCUUGCGUUAUCCAUAACCACCACCGGAUUAGCCGGAAGAAAUUUUAUCAUUUCACCAAAAUAGUCCUCGAAAACGUCUGAGUUCAUGUCUUCAUGGUAAUCUCCUGUGCGAGUCGACUCAAAGGUUAGCAGACCUUCUUUUAAAAAUCCCUCUUCGCUUCCAAUAUGUGUGAUUAUAAGUCUUUUUCCUUUUCCCGAAGGUACUUUAAUACCCGUAGACAGGCCUUCUAUGAAAGCUUGGCGAGCACUGGUUAUAUUUUUGUCUUGCCACAUUUUUUGGACUAUAUAACCUUCGUUAAUCCACGUCUCAUCAAGAUAAAAAACUUUCUUUUGCUCCCUGCGGUACUGCUUGAUACUUCUCAAGUAUUGUCGUCUCCAACAAACAAUUUCGUCGCUCUCCAGUAAAAGUGCUUUGCGGUUAUGCUUUUCCCAGGCAAAAUCCAUAUUUUUUAAAGUUUUCCAUAAAAGUUUUCUACUUAUCAACGGAAUACUGUCAUCUCGGCCAAGCUCCAUUAAAAUUUUGUCUAGGGUGGGUAUUUCCUUUUUAAAAUAAAAAGAGUGAACUUUUCUUCGAAUUAUACAUUUAGCAUUUUCAUCAAGGACUUUUUUGUAGGUCGUCCUGGCUUUUGCUUGGGAGAUUCCACUUGACCUGCUACUUUUCUUUCCCGCAACAAUUUGAAAAUGGUGGACUUUCCAAUUCCACUCAUUCGAGAACAUUUUUCAACAAUUUCUUGCACAGUAAAACUAGGGUAAUCGUGUUUUGUGCAAUCAUGUACAUUUAAAAUAAUAACUUUUUCACUCAGCGAUAAUGGAGAAUUUUUAGUACAUCUUUUCGUUGGACUGAAUACCUCCAUUUUUUAAAUAUUGGGAUAAUAAUAUUGUGACAACACUACAGCGUAGUAGUGACUACUAACGUUUAAAAUAUGAUUUAAAAGUAUUUAUAGUCUGUAUAUAUUACCUGACCCCAUUUUUGCAUGUUACAAAGCGUUAAAAGAUAGGUACCUAUACAAAAGGAUUAAAAGUAUUUAUUUAGUAUUUAAUCUCUUUCAAAAUAAAGGCAUUUAAUCCGUGAAAAUUAAAUUCAUAAAUAUUAUAAGAACCUGCGCCAAUGAACUACCACGAAAUGUAGCCAAACAGAACGGAAUUCCCCAGUUUAUUGCUCUAUACACUUCUGAAAUAGAGUAUAGCUACUUUACCCCCAAUAACGUUUUUUUCGACCUUUGGACGCCUUUUGCUUCUAAAUAAACUCUAAUGGAGGGUCAUGUCGUUUUCAAUUCGUUACAUGAAUACAAAAUGUUAUUAUCUAAAUAAUAUACCCUUACUUUAAUGUUUACUAAUCUACCUUCAUAAGUAGUUACCUUACGUAAACUUUUAAACGUUAAUAUGAAGUGUAUCAUCAUGCUCAUUCUCUCAUACUUGCAAUACUUGUAGUGGAAUCUUUUCAAAAACAAAGAAAUUAUUUUAUGCAUCUUCAUAAGAAAUAUACUUCUUUUGCCUAGAAUAUACCUCAGCUGGGAGCGAAAUAAUACGCUGUUGACGGCUGAGUACCAAAGACAGAAAUAUACGAAUAGUCCGACUAGAAAGUUGCACGAUCGGGAAUGUAAAAGAUAAAUAAAUGUAUUGAGGAAAAACUAUGUAUGCUUGCAAAUUUUUGAAUUGGAAUCAUAUGUUUCUGUUAUUAUAUAGGUAUUUUUUAAAAUUUGUGAGAAUUAUGAAUUUAUAAUGUAAUACAGGGUGGCUUAAAAUAUUUACCCUAAUAUUUGUCGUCAGUUUAGGAAUUCACCCUGUUUAAAAUAUAACAUACUAAAAUUUUAGUUUCCUAACCCGACAUUUUUACUAUAAUCUAGUUGUGAUAUGCGUAGGAUGUUAACUGUUAUUUAUUGUUAUACACAAUGUAUAUUAACAUAGAUUUUUUGACUAAAAACUUUGGUAUGACAUAAUCUGCUGUGAUUUUUAGAAUUAAUAGUAUUGUAAGGCAGCAUAUUUUAUAUCGAUUUUCGGCUUUUAAACUUUUUAGUUAUAUGCAGACCCGUAUCUAUAUGGAGGUAAGUAAAAAUUGACCAAUAUGUAAAACUAAAUUUACAAGUUUAUUUCCGGUUGAUUUAUUGUACGAGAAUGAAAGCUUCAUGUUAUGUAGCAAGAAACACAAAAAACUCUAGAUUUUAACAAUCUUUGUAAUUGGAUUUUUUUUUUUAAAUCCUGACUGUUUUGUGGAAGCUGGAUCGUUACAUUUAACAUGCGUUUAUUACUGAUAAAUCCAUAAGUUUGAAAUUAAAAACUAAUAACUUAAAUUAAUGUACUUCUUAAUACGACAACUACAUUUCGUUGAAUGCGGCGCAUUUAAAAGCCACGGCCUCGAAGUAGCAGCUAAUCGCGGUUGCCAGUGUGAGAUUUAUUUCUCGUAAUGAUAUUUCAACUCUACAUACAGGACUCCUUGAAGGAUGCUAGAAACUUUCAAUAUUAAACACCAUAUGUUGUCUCUCACUCUACAAUUUAUUGUCUUCGCGGAAUUAUUGUUUUUGUUGAUUCGUUUCAUGCUCGAAAGAAAAUACAUACAUUUUUGUAACUGGUCGUUUAACCCAUUGGCUGCUCAACAUAACCUAUGCAUUUCGCCCCCACGCUAAACAACUUUUUAUUUUCAAUCAACAAAAAAUGUAUGUAAAUCGUCUCUUUCCUCACAUUUGCCUUGCUAAAAUUUUGGAAUUUUCUAUACGCCCUUUCCAAUUUUCCAUUUUUUAGGGUUUUCUCUGGAAAAUGCUGGGUAACAGUUUCUUGUCCUAGAACACGGGUUUUACGAAGUUCCACCCCAAGUAGAUACUCGAUAACCUUCAAUCUAAAGUUGUAAAGGUAAAAUGAAAAUCCUUCCGUCUCCUUCCACUUAUUUAUUAAACAUUUAGUUAAUUUAAAAUUCCCUACAUGUUUCGGACACAGUGGUGUCCAUCAUCAGGGGGUAAAAGGUUUAAAAUUGGUAACAGGCACACGCCCCAGGGUCUGAUUACGUAUCAAAAACCCUCCAUCAUUAUUGUUUUAAUUUUAAAUUAAAAACAAUAAUAAUAAAUGUAUAAUAAUACUAAACAAUAAAAAAGCACGUAAAUUUGCAUAAUUUUCUGAUUCGAUGGAUUAAUAUUAAAAUAAAGCGCGAAUGUAAUUAAAAGUGCUUUUCGUUUAUAUCUGUCAUGACGCAAAUCCCAGGCUAUUUUAUAAUUUCCAUCAGUUACUUGAAUUGAUUCUAUCAAUGCCAACGCAUCCUUCUCCAUACAUGAACGGAAAUAAUAAAAUUUUUGAACAUCUGAUAACGUCGCAUUAUCUUAUACUAGAUCCUUGAAACCAUCCCUAAACUCAAUUCACGCAUCAAAUGUACCCGAGAAAUUGGGCAGUUUUAGCGCUGGUACCUAAUUCAACAACUUGCGAUCGAGUUUAAAUCGGCGCCGAACCAGUUGAAGAUUUCUGUGUUGGCAGACCAGGUGAAACCUGUGCAUCGAACCCGCUUUUCCACUGUAGCUUUGAAAAAGCCCGAAACCUUGAUGCAAAUUUUUCCCAUUAGACAUAAUAUUAAGUCUCAAAUUAUCACGCUAUUCAUAUUGUAAAAUAAUUUCGUCAUCUUUCCAUUUUAACAGCUCAAUUUCAUAUUGUUUACGUAUAAUUCCGCUAAAAGUCUUUUUAUUUUAAAUAGCCUUGCCUCAAGUUCUCUUGCAAUUUCGUCGGUGGAGGACGUUGUGCCAGAAUAAUGAAUAUGCCUAGUUAACACCCUUAAUAAAACCUCUUUCUUUCUUUAAGACGUAGUAUAUACUCAAUUGAAACAUGGGAAUAACAAUGGGAACUGAACACCGGUACGAUGGUAGAAAACACUCACCCAACUCUGGCACUAUGGCGGAUGUCGUUGCCGUUCAAUCGUUUGCUCGUUGUCUUUAACUUCACUAUCGCUUGCACUUGCUAAUUUUCGGUAUUAUCCGACUCGUUUGGGCCAAAAUGUUUUGUGGAAACUCGAUCGUUAUAUUUAAUAUAUGUUUAUUACUGGUAAAUACAUAAGAUGGAAAUUAAAAAGUAACUUAAAUUGUACUUGUUAACGACAUGAAUGCGCUAUGCAGUGUUGCCAGAGAAAUGUUUGUAAAUGUACUAGAAUACUGACCCAAAAUGUACUAAAUUAUGGAACUUUCAUAAGUAAGUCGCAGCUGAGGAAAAGCUGAUGAAACAUCUAAAAGGCUAAAAUAUUUAGCACCAGAUUGUUGUGAAAACUAUGACUCUUGUGUAGGAAUUUUAAAAAAAUUUUGUCUGACGGCUUUAUUUAAAUUCCUAGAAUCCAUGCAGAUCCUAAUAUCAUUGUUUAUUUAUUUUACCUUUAACCCUGUCUCUUAAGGCUAGAGGGAUUUUCCAUAAGGCUUUUACUAAUAGCAUUUUCAGACAAGGAAAUGGAGAAUUCUUUCUAAGGAGAAUUCCAAGAGAUUGGCAAGAUGACAAACCUAGAAUUGAGCAAGGUUCCUUGGAAUCUAAUAUGUGAAAUAGUAUAUUGUCAGUUUAAUCUUCAAACUUAUAAUCUAAACAAAAUUUCCCUAAGGCACCAAUUUUAUGGCCUGAAUAGGAAAACAACCUACAACGCUUAGACAAUUUUUCUCUUGGAAUUUUUAAAGCAAGGUGUUAACCAUAGUUCGACUCUCUACUUUCAUUGUAGUCUGAACUUUAGAAAGAAAAAUGUUUUUAAACCACUCAGUAGCAUUAAUGUCUGAAUAGUCCACACAACAUAGCCACUAUUUUGUUCAGAGCAGUCAAAUUCACUUAAAUAGUCUGUAUUAUAAGGCUUACUAGAGUCUUCCUGAACUUCAUGUCUAUUUUGCAUUUAUGACAUUGAAUCCGGUCCUCGUCAAAUGUUUGAUAUAUGAUUCAUAGAUGUAUCAUUUGAAUGCUGUUUUAUUUUAGGACUAUUCUUUGGAGGCUAAUUUUCUUUUUGGAUUGUCUGGCUUUUCUUGUCUCCAAAUUUUAUUAUUUUUUGUUGCUUUAUUUAUCUCUAAACGAGCGGCUUUUUCUCUUUAUGCGGCACUAUAAUUUGAUUCAUCGUCGUGGCAUUUUGAUGGCAUGUUUUGCUUUCUUGAGCUGUCGCUGAAGAGUUCGAAGUCACAAGGUGAACUUCUGCGUACUGGGUAUCUCUUGGGUAUUGGUUUUAUUUAAAUUCUCUGGAAUUUCUGUCACCCGAGAUGGCAAGACGUCUAAAUCUGAAAUUACAUGCCUGUCAAAAGCAUAUAAUGGAUGAAUAGCCUUUUUGUGCAAUCUCAAGUCGAGCACACCGUGUAAAUUCUUGGGAGACAAGUGCUGAAAUAUCAAAUUGUCAAUCUUAUGUUGUAUGUAGUGGAGUGCUUAGCAUGUGAAUAUUAUCUACCCGUGCAAAGAGAAUAACCUGCAGAUCUUUGUGGCUGCUGUGGAAUUUGUUAAGGUCCUUCGCAAAAUGCUUUAAGCAUAUUAAGAAAACACUGCUGUCUAUCCAACAGUUUGGCUGAAUAACACCCAUUGCUUCUUAUGGAGCUCCAAAUAUCAAUCGACCAUUCAUUCCAAUUGGCUUUAAUAUUAAAAGAGCAGGAAUGAAUGAGCCAAUAACAUUCAUUGAUACCAUAACUGUCACAUUCUGGCCUUGCUCAGCAUAUAGCUCAGCAUAUUGCCUAUUUGUUUCUUACCCAAUUGUGCUAGAAGUUUUUGGGUUUUUUGAACGCAUGAUACACCAGUUUCGUCUGCAUUAAAAAUAGAGGAAGGCGAUAACUUACAGAUGUUUAUGAGAUUCUCCAACUUAUCAUAAAACAAACUCACUCGAAUUUAUUCCAGUUAUGCAAUAUCAGAAGUGAAUCGAACGGCUGUAGCCGAACUUGUUGCCUUUGGUAACCGUUAUGAUAGAUCAGGAUGUUGAUUUAGGAUGUCAUGGUAGAAAUCCUUUACAGCUGUUUUUUUAUAUUAAGGAAAAAGUCCAUUUGGAAGUGGAGUUAAUAUAAUAUUGAAAAGUUAGUAGGGGAAGUCUUAAAUUAAAAGACUUCCCCUACUAACUUUUCAAUGUUUUAUGUUUAAUUGUCAAGUUUUCUGCCAGAUCAAAAGCUAGUCUAAGAAAUUCUUUCUUUGUCAUUGGCAUCAAUCUGCUUUCCAAGUCUUUGACAUACUUGACUAACAGAUCGUGAUAGUUUCUGGAAAAAGUUGAUGCGUCUGCCGAUUUUUUGUUUUGUUUUAUUUUUACUUCCAAACCUAGGCGAAAUUGAGCAAAUCGGUCACUUGGGUACUGUUCGGAUAAUUAAACCUAGUCGCCGCAUUCCGAAUACGGUGGUUUUCCUGUAUAAGGUACCUCACAGCCUUAACCAUCUGCUUCUCUGUCAAGCUGCCCCUUGUUUGUUGUGCGCUUUCGAUUCCCAUAUUUAUUCUGAAACAACAAGAAUAAUGAUGUUAAUUUAUUGCCAGUUUUUUUAGUUUUAUAAAUAUACUAGGCUCAAAAAAACUAUUUUUUGCAAAGAAUAAAUAUUUUGCCGGACUGGUCAAAACUGCAUCUGACCUUAAUUUGUAAUUUUUACUAAUACGAACGUAUUUUUUCUUGGAUGUAUCUUGUCCGGGACUACCCAAAAUGCAUAUCUUCGUCAAAGCUUUGUGUGGUUUAACUACGUUGAACCACACAAAAUAUGUUUUUUAAUUAACAAUUUACAAAUAUUAAUUAUAUAAUUUUAAAAUUGUAUAAUAAUUAUACGAUGGAUAUCUUGCGUCUGAGGCAGCAUAGGUAGCGUGGCCGAGCGGUCUAAGGCGCUGGUUUAAGGCACCAGUCUCUUCGGAGGCGUGGGUUCGAAUCCCACCGCUGCCACAACUUUUUAAUUUUUAAUACCGCAAAUAUUUGUUUUUUACUUCCGAUUAUUAUAAUGGGCACUGCCAAAGUUAUUUUUACAUUUUUUAUUUUUAAAGGAAAAUCCUAUUGAUGCAUGUUUGCGUGAUUUAUUAAUGAGCUGCCUUGCUCGUGUUUUUAUAGCACUUCUUAGUGUUUUCGUUGCCUCGUUUAGGGCUUGUUCAGCAAGAUGCUUCAGAUUAUGAUAGUGAAGGGAUAAACAACAAAAAAGUGGGAAGGCAAAAGACUUGUUUAUUAUUUUUUUUUUUAAUUAUGUGUCAUAAUCUGGAGAAUCAAGGAAAUUUUUUAGACCCUUUGGUCCUCUGUUGAGGUUUAAAAAGUUAAGUUAUUUUUUCAUCGUUUGUUAAAUCAAGGUUUUGUGUGAAUUUUAUGUGAAAGUUUUUAAUGCUCGGGUCUCCGGAUUUUAUUUUUAGAUCUGUUCUGAUUUCUCUGUUUCUUACAAACCACGGAGAAGAUGAAGAGUUUUACUCUGGAAAGUUUCUAGUUCCUUUUGGUUUGUUUUGGCUGAUGCCUUAAAAAUAUUUGAACCACUAAGAAGUUUAGGUCUUAUUAUUUAAACGUUAAUGAUUUUUUUCUUUUUGAGGGAUAGUUUGCUUUUGCAGCUCAAUAGAGGAUAUAUAAUAUUUUUGCUGUUGCUAGAGGCGUUUUUGUGGUAUGGUUACUGUCGUUAAUUUUAGUGUCCAGUGUCAUUCCUAGGUAUUCUAUUUCUUUUUUCAAUGGGAUGAGCCCAUUUUUAAUUUCAAGAUUCCGAAGAGGGAAGCUCUACCGUUAAUAAAACAAAUAGUCUCCAUUUUCUCCUCGUUAAUAGCGGCCUCUACACGUAACGUUUUAACCGCGCGCCUGCGGAUUGCGCGAUUGCUCGCAUGCAAAUUUGGACGGUCAAAACUGUGGCUCAAAAAAACUCGUAAUUUACCAAGAAACUCUUGCGUUUGGUUAAAACUGUUUGGAAUGAAUAGCGAGCGUAAAUCCUUACGUGUAAAGGAUAAAUCGCGCGCGAUUACGUGACGCGUGGAACGAGACGUGGAAUUUGUAUUUUUUGAAAAGGUUUAGGAUAUGUUUCCUUUAUAUUAUUUAAUUUGUAUAUUCAAAUAUGUCGGUAUCUGAGGAAAAUAAACGUAUAAUUGCUAUAGUGGCAGCUGGAAUGGCUAUGAUGCCCAAAAAAUCGAAUAAGCGGAAGCGUAGUAUUUGGGUUAAGGAUUACCGGUAAGACUUAUGUUUACUUUUUUAUAUGUAACGUUUGUAACUAUUACUUCGUUUCUUCAUCAAAAUAAUAUUACAGGUCCCUCUAUAAUGAUAUUCCAUUAAUUCAACAUUUGUGAGAAAACUAUCCUGAAGAUUAUAAAAAUUACCUAAGAAUGGACAAUUUUUGUUUUGACUAUUUGCUGAAUUUGGUAAAAGUGAGAAUAAUUAAAAAAGACACAAUCAUGAGGAAAGCCAUUGGUGCCGAAGAAAAACUAGUUGCUACUUUGAGAUUUUUGGCCACUGGGCGUUCCUAUGAGGACUUAAAAUUUUCCACAGGGAUAUCUGCACCAACUUUAAGCAUUUUAAUACCACAAGCCUGUAAGGCUAUAUACGAGGCAUUGAAAGAAGAACAUAUGAGGAGCGCGCAAGCAAAAGCAAACAAAUGCCUGAAAUAAGAAACUGAGUUAAAGCGUAAAAUGUUUUUGUUUGAAUUGUAGAGAUGUUAAAAGAUGCAAACAAAUAAAAAACCGAUUCUGUACCAUUUAGCAACAAAAUAAAACUAAAGAGUUCAAAUUAUAUUUUAUUUUUAAAAGAUUUUUUUGCAUUUUUAUUAUCCAUUUGUUUGGUUUUGAUUGGGUUUAACAUAAUAUGUUUGUUUUUGAUUAGACUAUUGAAUGAGAUAUUUGCUUUUGUUUAAACCAUUCAAUUUUGCUAAGUUAUAUUUUAUUGUUUUCGCAGGUUCCCAAAGCUGAUAGUUAAAAUUAAUCUUUAUAAUAAAACAAAACUUAAGCAGACACAACUUUAUUUAUCUUCAAAUAUGCACACCAAGAUCAUUGUCUAAGCAGUUACAUUCUGCGAUAUCUUCUUCUGAACUUGCCGAUACUUCUGGCAGGGUUGCUCCAUCAUCAAGGAUGUUUGAAUACCAGUUUCUAGCAGAAAAACUUUCACAUUCUCUCCAUGUUUCACAUAUGACCAUGUACUAAAACAUAAAAACGUUUCCCUUUUUUUUCUUUGAGGAUCUUUAUUCGCUUUAAGUUGCUAAUAUUGUCUAAAUUACGAUAUAUUGCGGAAAGUACCACAAAUUCGAAUAUUUUUUUCAAGAAAGUCUAAUAAGGCUGAAGAUAUUUCAAGUGAUCCCCUACCAGCCUGAUCUUCUGUCCAUGUAUAAAAAAAUGGUUCUUUGGAGGAUUGGUCAACAACACAGAAACAGUAAAAACUAAUUUGACGAGAAUAAAACGCUUGCUGGAUCGGUGUCUUUGGUAAGGGCUGUACUUGUUGCAAAAUAAAAGCUGCAAUUUAUUUUUGUUUGCAACAUCUUUUUCACUUUUUAUUAAUUUAUUUGCAGUGAUAGCCUCGUGCAGUAUGUACAAACAUCGCAAGCAGGCGAUUUAAAACCAAUGUUAAAUUGUGAAAAAAUUCUCUGAAACAUUGUCCUAGACACCUGAAAUUCAGGAGCAAUAGAUGCGUUAUAGAUUGCACGCAACUUAUUUUGCGUCAGUUCACUAUGCAAAUAAAUUCGUACAGACGUUUUUCUAUUAUAAUGUGAUUCGCUACCUUUUAAAUUUCCUAUGUACUCUUGCGCUUUUUCCUUUUUUUUUAAUGAUUUAUGGUCAACACGAUCACCUCCUCUCCUUUCUGCAAUGCACUCUCCAGAUUUCAUUAAUUUGCAAAGGUUAUUUAAUCUAUUAUUUUUUAAACAAGUCAAAUGCAUAAAUAAUUUUUUACACACAGUAACACUUUUUCCUGUCUGCGUUGGCACACAAUAUUUAACGUUAAACGAGUGAGGUUUAACUCGACAAUUUUUUUGAUGUCUAUGUUUCUUUUUAAUAUCUGAGACACUUAUCCAAUUCGCAACUUUGUUAUCUUGAGCAACUUUACUCCCACACGAUUGCAACUUUCCACGAAUUACCAAGGCCAAUCACCAGGACGAACUUUACUGCAUGAAAAGCGUGCUGAAUUAUGAGUACAUCCCACAAAAACCUUGGAGGUCUACAAAUCCGCGCUUUUUUUGCUUGUUCUCGCUUAGAUUCUUUCUUUUGCUUCUUUCUGCUACCUUUUGCUGCUUCCCUUACUGUCACUGAAGCCUCGUCAAUCUCCUCCAUGCCAAAAAACUUAACACUCACACUUUUAUUUACUUAAAUAGGUACUUUAGAAAAACGUACUGACUACUGUUUCAAAACAAAAACACGUGAAAAAUAAAAACAUCAAACGAACCUCUAGCCCCAAAGCGCGUAAAUCAAACUUCCGUCACCUGAUCAAUUUUACCGGAUUCUGAUUGGCUGGUAACAUAUGUUUGCUUUUGAUCGGGCGCUACUUGAGCAUUUGUUCGUUUUUGCUCAGGCCAGCAAUGUUUAACAUAUGAAAUGGUCCGGAUUUAUUUGCUUUUGGUUAGGUUACUUUGAAGUUUUGUGCAUGUGGCUACCAUUACUAAGCGAUCCAAUAUUUAACUCAUUUUUUUAAAUUUGAUCAUAUGUUUGCUUUUGCUUGGGCGCUCCUCAUAUGAAGGUAAUAAUGUAACGUUUAUUACUAUAAACAUACGAAAAAUACAAGAAUGACAAAUUACAAUAAUUGUAUAUUCUCAUAAUAAUGUUUCACAUUAUUUUGCAAACUGUGUUCUAUUUCUACUUCACUACUAUUUGAAUAUGACGGAAAUGUUACUCCACCAGGGCAUGGUGUAGGGGUCGGUACGUACUGAUUUUGAGACGUUGAUGAGCUUGCAGAUGAAAAACUUCUUAAGUUGCAAGAGUUUUGGCAUAUAUCUGUAUUUUCAGAUAAUUGAUUUUUUAAUCCUUUUAAUAGUGCAGAAUUUAUUAUGGACUCUGCAUAUAGUAAUUGAUCAGGUUGCAUUCUUUGUAAUUUUUUGGCAAUAUUACAACCUAUGGCGUCAAAUUCACUCAUAUUUUUUUGGGACGUCAAUGCCGUUGUGCAGACUUUCAUAAAUUCAUGCUGGGUCUCCUCAAUUGUUCUUUUAUUUAUUGGUUUUUUAAUAACAAGUUUCUAACGAAAUUGCCUUCAUUUUCUUCUUCCUAAAAAGAAUAAAAUAUAUCUUAAAACCUUAUGCUCAAAGAGAAUUAGACGAGAAAAAACGAAUUUUUAACUACAGAUUGUCGCGCGCCAGAAAUGUAGUGGAAAAUCCAUUUGAAAUAAUUGCUUCUAGAUUUUAGAUAUUCCAUAGGCCUAUUACUAUGAAACAUGAAAAUAUUUGUUAUGUUGUUCUGGCCAUUUGUGCCUUGCAUAAUUUUCUUCGUAAUCGCUCCACUUCUUAUGUUAGUGCAACAACUUUUGAUAGGGAAGACACAUCACAUAAUUUGUUAAAAGAUGGUGACUAGCGAAAUAAUUCAGUUAAUAUUACAAAUAUGCAAGUAGAUCUACAAAUCCAACAUCUGCAUCAAAAGAAAACAGGGACAAUUUUAAAUCGUAUUUUAACAGCGCCCAAUUCCUUGGCAAGAAGAAAUGAUUAAGUUGGGAAAAUGUUAGUAUACAAUAAAAUAUGUUUGUUUGGAAAUAAAUAAUACUUACAUCGUUUUUCUGUUGAUUAUUAUUAGGCUGUGACGUAGUAAAUACGUUAAUAUUAGAUUCUUCACCAUAUUCAGAUUCUAUCAGAUCUUCGAUACCAUAGCACUGGUGUAUAUAAAUCAUCUUGCGACAUUCCAGACUUUUUGCUAUCCUUCACUUUUUUUAACUCUUUUCUAAACGGGGAUCGUUUUAGACUUCGUUAUUAGACUCUUAGAAUUUUUUUAACAACAAAAUCUUUGUUGGCCUUCGGAAACACAGCUUCUUUACAGAAUUUAACGAGUUUAUCAUAGGCGACAUUUUUAAGAUUUCGGUUACUGUAUUCCUUGCUUUUUAUUUGCCAAAGGCUUGGAUAUUCUCGGUAAAUAUUAAUAAAAUCUGUAACAGCUUCUUUGCUCCAAGAACGACCAUUCCGACAUAACGCGCUCCCAAAAGAAACAGUUCAACUGGAACAAAUAUGUAUUGUCACACUGGGGGUUGGCCCGGUCUAGGACAAGGCCGUUUGACGGUUACAAGUAUGUAACUGGGACUUUAAGGUACGCUUUAGCAUUGAAACAAAAUAUAUAGUUCACUAAAUACCUUGUAUUAACAGCAAAAUAUAAUUAUAACGAUUUAAGUGCAGUUACCCAAAUAAAAGAGCUAAUUUGACAAGAGAUAAACUAAGAUCGACAUAAUAGGAUUAAUAAUUUAAGUACAUAGGAAUGUGUAGAGAAUUCUAUAAUUAAAAUGAAAGUAAUGUUACGUAACUUAAUAAAGUGACAAUAAUUGUGAUCUUCUUCGAUAUGAUAAAAUGUUGUACUUACAUUAUUAUUAUUCUUGGAGCAAACAUUUCACAAAGCUUUUCCGCACUGCUUUCGGUUACCUCCUCUUGCCCGAGACCCGGUCGUAACUACCUCCAAGUUUCGUUCGUCGUACCCUAGUGUUCAUUUUCUUUGUCAGCAGAAUUUCGGGUUUUUUCCAAACCAUCGUUCUGUCGACAAGGUACUUUUGCAAUCUUUUUACGAUGGAAAUGACUUGGACGAUGGAAAGCUGGCCUCCAGCUUUAUUGUUAACAAUCGAAAUCAUGAUCGAAGAAGACCCAGAAGAAAAAAAGAUAAAUUUACAAUUAGUAAGAUCAGAACAACAAUGUACCUAAAUAACAUAUAAUUAAUUAGAACUGAACCCUAAUUAUUCAUUAAAUUUUAACUACAAUUAAAGUAACUAUCGCUUUUGAUGUCCACAUUUUUUAAGUCUUUUACCACAAAAUACAAAUAUAACUUCACUACGUAGUAUCUGAACACAAAAUGUCUUCAGCAUCCGGAUCCGGUCCAUAAGGUGGCGACGCGGCGGCGUUCAUAGCGUUGUCGCCUGCCCCUCGUCUGGAACGCCUACAGGUUUGACGCCUCCAUGUGUCGUCCUAGGACACUUUCACCCAUGUAUGUCUGACUCCUCGUCUGGAACGCCUACGGGUUUGACGCCUCCAUUCGUCCGUUGGCAACCCUUACGACAUCACGUGACACCCCCUUGUAUGCCUGACUUCUCCCUUGUUUUGUACCAGUCCUUCAACGCCGUCGGUUUCCUGGAGCCUGUAGGCAGAGACUCCUUCAUUGCAGCUGCUGUGGUGUGACAAAACUUUUUGGUUUUUGUUUUGUACCUUCUUGACCAUUUCCAGUGAGCUCUCCCAUAAGCUUACUGUGUUUUACGGAUGGCCCCUGCCGUAUCUUCAGCUGAAUCCAUGAUUCGUAAUGUUGGCAUCCCCUACUAGAGAUCAUAGGUUGAACACUUCAACCCGCUGCUGGUAGCGUCGUGAGUUCGGGCAAAUUUGGACUUUGACCAUUGGCGCAGUGGUAACUUGGCAUAUCCUGUGAUGGCCCUAGCUCUGGCAUCACCCUGUCUGCGAUUGGGAUGGUCAGGACUGACAAGGCAGUGCGCGGAUGUAAGGUGUUCCUGUUUGGCUCUGGUUCUGGUUCCAUCGGCUACUGCGUGUGGUUCUGGUAGGAGCGUACCAUUAUUUUCUAUUCAGGUCGAAUUUGUACGUGUGGUAUCUCAUGGUAUGUUUACAUGUAAAGAAAGAACAAAGUGUAAGUAUGUGCUAUUAUAUGGUGCUUAAUGGUUUUAUAUUUAAUCAUUUUGAUUUUAAGUUAAAUCUUUAUAUUAUAUCUUGAGAAAUUGUUGACUUACUCGCAAUUUUUGUAUUAUAUAUUUUAGGAUAAUUUAACUCAUAAUCAAAUUUUAUUUAUUUUCCUUUGUCUCAGAUCUUUUGAAGUUUCUUGUAUUUCGAGUUUAGAUAACAAAGUGUUUUAUUUACAGAAAACCCAAAAAAAAAAUAUUUUUUAUUUAUUAAUUGUUUAUCCCCGCUCUUCUAAAUAACUUUUAUUUAUGUAUGUCUUUUUAACUUUUAUAGAUUAUUAAUUAGACCCUUUCUUUUACAUUAUUUUUAAUAAUAUGUUUCCUUUUUAGCUUCUACUUAAAUAUUUAUGUGUCUUAGGCUCUAUCUUAGGCUGUCCCUCGCCUACCGGCGAUAUAUUUAUAAUAUUUCCCCAUUAUCAUCUCAUUUCAAUAAAUUUCAUUUCGAAUAUGUAUAUACGCGCGUAAAUCAAAAUUAUUUAUACGUUUUCUGAUGUGAUUUGCAAAUUACUAUGAUAUUUAUCCUUAAAUUGUUUAAAUUGUCAUGACUACAAUUAAGGCUUAAAUAACAUGGUGAACUGUAUCAUCUUCAGAAGGGCCCCAGUAUAUACCAACUAUAUGUAAGCUUACGUAAAAUAAUAAGUAAUCAUUCUAUUUCAAUGCGUUCUAUACUAGCAUCUACUUUUUUACCAGGGGACAGUGAUAAAAGGCUAGCACUAUUUUUUAUAUCUAGCCGGAACCUUGACAUGGCGUUUGGUUCGACGCUCGGUUCGGGGUGAUUGUCUGGGUCGGGGAUUGAGUAUAAUAUUGCUUCGUCAAAUGUUUUUGCACUUCUAAUGGACAUGGGAUUUUGGGUUGUAACUGAAUUUUUUGGUUUGUUUUUGAAGUAUCUGAGCGUUAUAUAUAAGUAAAUAAGAAUAGAAGGAAAAGUAAACAUGAAGUGUAAAUUAUUAUAUAGAGAGCCUCGUGAUUAACACUUGUUGAGGGGCUUUUUUCAUGACAGUCUAUUUCUCUACGUAUUUGUGGAACUGCCGCUACUAUUGCUAUUCUAUUUUGUUUAAUUAGGAUGUACUCUACCAAGAUUGAAAUAGUUUUGUUCUAAAUUAGAAAAAAUUAGUCCCCGUAAAAGCUAUGUGUAUCACCAUAAGUGAUUACAUUUGGAUAGUUUUUCUCUACUGAUUUUAGAAUAUUCUUUAAGAUGUUAUCGCUGGAUGUGAGGUUAAGAUGGGGUAUCUCUAGUGUCCAAUUUGUAUUUAGGCAUUCAGAAAUGUUUUUGUAGAGUGGUGGGGUACUAAUAAUGUUGGGAUUGAGGAUAUAGGAAUUUAAAUUUGACCAGGUUGCAGGUAUUAUGUGGGUUGCUAUUGCAUUGGUAGUGAAGUUUUCUGGACACGGGAAAUUUUCAGGUAUAAUAAUUGCAUUGCCUACGCUGAGGUGGCAUUUACAUGGGAGGAUAAUUUUGAUGGAGCCUUGACGUACUAAUAUCGUGUCUAAUUUCUGAGGGUUACUUUUAUCAUAAUAGAUGGUCAUUUAAUUUCUGAUAUUGUCAUCGAUGUUGCUGAGUGGCAGUCCAUUGGGCAGUAUUGGCUUAGUUCUUUUACUGUUGCCCCUUGAUAUAGGAUUUUCGCACAUUCAGGCCCUUGUAGGAUGUCUGCUGAGAAUCUGGGUAAAUAGCAUAAUUUAUUUUGGUAUGGCUUACAUGCAUGAUGGCCUGUCCCCGAUAUUUGUCUUAAGUCGCUCUCGUUAUUUCCGUUUUUGGACACUGCAAUGUAUAGCGGUUGGUGGCGUAUAAUACAGGUCUGGUUAUACCAAACAAAGGGUGUGGUUAUUAACUCUAGUAGUUGCCAAUUUCUAUUUUUCUUAAUUAUUGGAAUUUUUAUGUGAACAUAUAUACUUGAUUUUGUAAAGGAACGGUCACAUAUGGGCAUUUCGAAGUAUGCUGCUAGUUCAGAUGUAGGGAUGGCCAGUCCUUGUUCUGAAUUUGCGAUUUUUGACUCGAAAUCCUCCAGAUCCCUUUUUAGGACUUGCGGGUUGACAAUUUCUGCUGGUAUUUUAUGGUGUCUACAUGAAUUUAUGAUAGCUUGUCUUCUGAGAGCCCUUACUAGUAAUACCAUCCUUUUUAGGUUUAGAUAUCCGUUAUAGAGGUUUGUCAUUAUUAGUCAUUCCUGUUCGUUUGUCGUGUUUGCCACCUUAUCUUCCAGUUGUUUAGUGAACCUCUCUAUGCUGUUUAUCCUUAGCUCCGUGUCCGAGAACGUUGCUGCGACUAAUUUCUCAUAGUCUUAAGUGUUUGGAGUUUUCGCUCAUUUGUUUUACGGUAUCGGACAGAUCUCGUCAUCUGAGUUUUCGACCAUAUUUAGUUUUUGCAAUGUUGCCACUCCGCAACACCAUGAUAAUCCUGAGCCUAUAAAGUCUAGAGACCUCUUCGCUCUCUUAGAAUAUUCGUUGUUUCUUAGUGGUGCUAUGCCCUAGUGUUCUUUAAGUAAAGUUAAUUCUUUGAAGAAUGCUUUAUUUAGUCCAUUUAUACUAUUUAUUACAAAGCAUUCGUUCGUUUGCAAUUGGCUGCAUUUGAGAUUUCCUACAUCCAUCGUGUGGUCAUCGGUAUCCUCGGUCCAUUCCGUUUCAAUGGUACUGUAGCUUCAUAGAUUCUUGUCGCUGGGAGUGGUUUCCAAUAAGCUCCCGCGCUUACCUCAACUCUGUAAUCUUGUUCUUCCUUCAUGUUCUGCGCCUGAUUUAGCAUCAUAGUGAUUAACCUAAUAAUAGCAUUAAAAUAUAUUUUUUUAAAUAAUAAUAAUGGGUUGCAAUAUUAGUAAAGAAACGGUGCAAUCCAAAAUUAAUCGAACAGAGCAAUAUAUCAUAAAAUUAUUCGAAAAUUAACGAAACUUUAUCGCCA
rnacentral:misc_RNA from 1 species